UUCGCAAUGCCCGAAAGGGUGACGAUGCGACGCCGCGUGAGCGAAGAAGGCCCUAGGGUUGUAAAGCUCUGUCGAGGGUUAUGAAAUAUAGAUGGGUUAAUACCCCAUUUAUUUGACAAAAGCCCAAAAGGAAGCCACGGCUAACUCUGUGCCAGCAGCCGCGGUAAUACAGAGGUGGCGAGCGUUGUUCGGAAUUAUUGGGCGUAAAGAGCACGUAGGUGGGUUUGUAAGUCAGAUGUGAAAGCCUUCUGUUCAACGGAAGAAUUGCAUCUGAAACUACAGAUCUUGAGUGUAGGAGGGGAGAAUGGAACUUCUGGUGGAGCGGUGAAAUGCGUAGAUAUCAGAAGGAACGUCGGCGGCGAAAGCGACUCUCUGGCCUAUUACUGACACUGAGGUGCGAAAGUUAGGGGAGCAAACGGGAUUAGAUACCCCGGUAGUCCUAACUGUAAACGAUGGGCACUAAGUAGAGGGGUUUU
rnacentral:rRNA from 1 species